CGGGAUCAGCCAGUACGAAUACGACAGAGAUCAGUGUAUUGUCAGCAGUCAAAGGCUUCAUCACUUCCCA
rnacentral:snoRNA from 1 species